rnacentral:lncRNA from 1 species
UUGGGACUUUGGUUAUAGGUUUUCAGACUUUUUUGUUUAUCAUAUGUCAAAUAGUUGGCAAUCAGGAAUGUGAGGAUAAAGGGGGAAAAGAUAGUAAUUGAGUCUUCUGGAUCAGAUCUAAAGUAGUAGCAGUAUACAGUCUCAGAAAUCAGAAGUGUACUGAGGUUAAAGGACAGUCCACACAAUUCUGACUGCUUAGAAAUUGACGUAGAUAGGUGAGGGCAGUGUAUCUCACUUUCAGGAGCUGUGUGAUAAAGAAUAAACUACUUCGUUAAUUUUCACAGUUUGAAAACUUUAUUUUUCUGUGUGUGGCUUUAGAAGAUAAAGAUAAUUAUCUUUACCAAUGUGUCUAGCAUGCAUAUUGUAAAUUUCUCAGGGUUUGAAAACUUUAUUUUUGGUGUGUGGCUUUCAGAAGAUAAGAAUAAUUAUCUUUACAAAUAUGUCUAGCAUGUAUAUUGUAAAUUUUUCAGAGUUUGAAAACUUUAUUUUUGGUGUGUGGCUUUAGAAGAUAAGAAUAAUUAUCUUUACCCGUAUGUCUAGCAUAUAUGUCAUCAUAAAAUGUAUACGUGAGAAAAGAGGCUCCUUCAAAUAUAUAUCAUAUUAGAGCAGACAUACAUGCCCAUAUAUAUCUGUAUGCACGCAAAUGCAUGUACAUAUUAAAUAUUACAAAUAUAAAUUUAUAUAAACAAGCAUAUAUAUAUAUAUAUAUAUAUAUAUAUAUAUAUGCAUACAUACAUAUCUCUUACUUGUAGGAGCAUUUUACCAAGGCUUCAAAAUAACAGGUUUCUAACCCCAGGGUUAUGUAAAAUAACUUAAUAGUCUGUAAGGAGUAUAAGCAUUUUAUUCUACUUAUUUUUUUUUUUUUUUUUUUUGUUUUUUCGAGACAGGGUUUCUCUGUGUAGCCCUGGCUGUCCUGGAACUCACUCUGUAGAACAGGCUGGCCUCGAACUCAGAAAUCCACCUGCCUCUACCUCCCGAGUGCUGGGAUUAAAGUGUGCCACCAUGCCCGGCUUUUGAGUAUAAGCAUUUUAUAAGAGCAUUCUCUGUUUAUAGCUUUUAAAAGUUCAACGUAUUUAUCAUGUAUAAUGUUAUUGCAUUGCUAUAAAAUAUAUGUUUUAAUUUAUAAAUAAUGGGUGCAUGGCCAAUUUUUUUUCUAGUGAUAGAGAUGAAACUCAAAAAGCUUAUAGAUCCCAAGUGGUAGCCAGUAGGGAAACAAGAAUUAUGUUGUGUAGGAAGGGGAAUUGGUGACCUGGGGUUCAUGUUGAGGGAAAUGGAAAGGUGAAUGGCCAGGUGGUGCAUUUACCCAGGGAGGCAGUGCUACUACAAGAGCGUAGGAUCUACCAUGCUGAGUUCUUUAAGGUGACCAUGGGGCCUAGAGUUUGGGAAUUUUCCAUCUAUCAAUGCUGGUUGAUAGUAUAGGCUGCAAAAUAAAAGCACCGGAGUGUAGAGUAGAGAAGGCUCUUGAGAGUAGGGAAAGUCGUUCACUUUCCCAUUUUCUUUGAACUUUUGGAUCCUUUGCCGGCCAUUUUAGAGAGUGUAGGAAUUUGUGGGGGUUUCCAGCAAUUAGCAUGUUUAAAUUAAAGACUAGUUUAUUUUUCACACCCAUUCCCCCAGAGCAGUGAUCAGAGCUGCAGUUUGAUUGAGGAGAGGCUUCACAUGGGAAACCUGGCUUUCAGUGCAGGUGCUGAACCUGGAUUACUGUAUGACAUUGGUGCACCACUCCCUAGGGCUUUGGUUUCACAUCUGCACUGUUGCUCUCACUUUGAGAUAAGAGGGAGUGACUGCCUGAUCUAAGUACUGAAGAGUACAAUUUUUGUUUUUUCAUGAGAAACCAUUUUCUUUAAAUUAAAAAAAAUACUUUAAAUUAUGUGUAGGUAUGUAUGUCUUCAUAUGACUUUGCACACAUGAGUGCAAGUUCCUUCAGAGGCCAGAGGCUUUAGAUUUCCUAGAGCUGGUGCUAUAGAAGGUUGUGAGCCACCUAAUAGGAGCUAUGGGAAGUCUGGGAAUUGAACUUGGGUUGUCUGGAAGAGCAGCAAAUGCUCUUGACUGUUGAGCCCUCUUUUGCCUGAGCAACCGUUUUGUGUCAUUAUGAGAAAGUAUAGAUGCUGUGCAAUUAACACUGGUUGUGCCAGGGCUGAUUUGUCACGUCUGUAACUGGCUGCUCUUUGUCAGGGUGUCUUUAGUAGUGCAUUGCAUUGUAGCUCGUCAGUGUACUGAGUCAUUGCCACUGCAAAGACAUGUGCUCAAAGAGUGUAAUUCAGGGGUCGGCAUGUCUUUGAUUUUGAGUAAAUUCCCUAGAUGGUUCAAUUGUGUUCCACUCAGGAAAACAUGACAAAGAAUAGUUUAUACAGUGUGCCAUCCCAGAUGAUACUCUCAGUUUUUUUUGAAGAAAAGGUCAGUGGUGGCUUAAGUGGUUUUGGAAGGCUUGAUGGAGAAGAUGAGGUCUGAGUGAGGAAUGGGCUGAUGGGUGAUAUGAAAGAUGUAUUUAAAAAAGAGC